rnacentral:lncRNA from 10 species
UGUGUUUAUGGGUAAGGGAGGGGCUUUCUAAAUACACAAAUACUGGUAUACAUAAAUAAUUCCUGAAGAGUCAUAAUUCCUCGGAUUUAUGUAUUUAUGCUCAAACUGUUUCCAUCCAUGUUUCAUUUAUUCUUACAACCUCCAAGCAAAAGAGAUAAGGACAGAUAUUAUCAUUGUCAUUUUUCCGAAGAGGAAAUGGAUUGAGAAGUGAUGUGAACCUGCUCAACUGCAAAUGGUAUCCCAAUAUCCGAGUUGAUGCUCCAGCCACUAGAACGGUGUAACCUGAUAACUUACACCGAAAGCAACUCAAGGAAUAAAUUCUGCUAAAAAGCACACCCUUGACACAGCAGAUCUGCUAGAAAGAGGGAGAUGAUUUCAAAAGGAGAAACUUCCUGUGAUAGCAAAUGGAGCUGCCAGCGUAGUCUUUGAACUCUCCUUCACCAUCAGCCAACGAAAGACUUCAGUUAUUCUUCACUAAAAAUGACAGUCUGCAAGUAUUUUGGACCUCCAGGUCGAGGCUAAGUUGGCAAGAACUAAAUGGAGAGAAAACCAUUUUACAGGGUCACUGCUAAAUCCAGAAUCACGGGAUUUCUGAAGAAACUGUAUAUGGGUGACUAAAUCAAAGGCUUCUGUUAGGUCAAUAAAAAUGUUUCUAAUAAUAA